AGAAUCAACGCUGGCGGCGUGCCUCAGACAUGCAAGUCGAACGCGAAAGUCCCCUUCGGGGGCAAGUAGAGUGGCGCACGGGUGAGUAACACGUAGGUAAUCUACCUUUGGAUGGGGAAUAACAAUCGGAAACGAUUGCUAAUACCGCAUAAUGCAGCGGCACCACAUGGUGACAGUUGUUAAAGCAUUUAUGCGCUUGAAGAGGAGCCUGCGGCAGAUUAGCUAGUUGGUAAGGUAAUGGCUUACCAAGGCUACGAUCU
rnacentral:rRNA from 1 species